AUCUUUGUAUCUUUCUAUCCGUGAGCUUCCACUUUUGUUUUGUUUUUCAAAUUAAAUUGUGGACCUCUGUGUGUGUGUGUGUGUGUAUUGGGGAUUCAAUAAAAUUAUUGGGCGCGGGUCUAUUCGAGCGUUAACAAAUAUUAUUGUUCAUUUUGCUGUUAUUGUGAUUAUAAAUUUCGUAUGUGCUGCUUGUGUAAACAGCAACAACAACAGCACGACAAUGGCAGCAAUUUGGGGUGCAGCCAGUAAAUUAUUGUGCAGCCAGCAACUGAUUGAUUUACAUUGUUGCAAUUGUCUGGCUUCCCUCGCCCAUCGGAUUCAGUGAGCAAUGAGAAUGGAUUUCCACUCGACCCCCGACCGGAACACACCCAAAUCGCAGAUAGAUUCCACAUAGAUAGAUGUUCGAAUGUAUAGGAGUGAUAUUGAAAAACUUUUGCCAUGGCAUCUGGGGCCAUAAACAAUAUGGGCACAUGCGAUUUACAUAUCAAUGAAGCGAUCGCAUUGGAAACAGGCCUCUAUCUUGUUCCAACUGAAUAGCUAAAUGUUUGACAAAUCGUGAAUCCAUUUGAUGAAUCACACUCAUACCUGCGACUUCUGGCAACCUCAUUCGCAAAACAAAUUCCGCCAAGACAUGGAUUGUCUAUCUGAUUGUGCGAUCGCUUAAGACUUAAGACCAGCAAAUUUCUUAUAAGUAGCACUUGGCUGGCGCUUAUGAAUUUCAUUCAUCCGCGGCCCCAGUGGAUCCCCGAUCCCAAAAUUGUUUUGCCCAAAAACCGGCAACUUCCGUUCGAAAGCGAUGGCUAACUGGCGAUUAGCGGACCCGCUGCCUAAAGAUGCUUUAUAAUAAUUUCAAAUAUUCUGCGGCUGGGUUGGAAAAAUUAAAAAAAAAAACAAAAGAAGCGAGAAAACAUUAAAAAACGAACAUGGAAAUUAUUGUCGGUCUCUCCACUUGAGGCCGAUAAAAGUUUUUCGAUAGUGGCAGUGAAAAUGCCACAAACAGCUCAUUACAAGCGUCAAAACAAAUUUAUGCAAAUAGCAGCAGCCGCUGUGGCAGCAGCAGCAGCAACAACAACAGGAACCACAAAUCGGAAAGAGUGACCAUAUAUACAUGCAUAUAUAGCCAGAGAUCGGGCCUUUAAGCCGAGUUCGGAGCGGUGGCAAUUAACAUUGCGCCGUGCGUUGAGCAUUAAUCAUUUUAAUCGCAAUUUAUGUGUCGUCGACGUCGUCAACACGAGCCGACACGACAGCAGCCGCAGCAGCAACAGCCGCAACAGCAGCAGCAACAGCAUCAGGCAACAGCAGCAGCAACGGCAGCACACCAUCAUCAUCGCAAGAAUCAACUACGACUACUACAGUGAAGCCUAUACUUGCAAAACACAGGUAGGCUCCGCUUUUCCGCUUACGGCAAUACAUUUUGUCAUUUA